rnacentral:rRNA from 1 species
CAAUAGCGUAUAUUAAAGUUGUUGCGGUUAAAAAGCUCGUAGUUGGAUUUCUGCUGAGGAUGACCGGUCCGCCCUCCGGGUGAGUAUCUGGCUCAGCCUUGGCAUCUUCCUGAAGAACGUAACUGCACUUGACUGUGUGGUGCGGUAUUUAGGACAUUUACUUUGAGGAAAUUAGAGUGUUUCAAGCAAGCGCACGCCUUGAAUACAUUAGCAUGGAAUAAUAAGAUAGGACCUCGGUUCUAUUUUGUUGGUUUCUAGAGCUGAGGUAAUGAUUGAUAGGGAUAGUUGGGGGCAUUCGUAUUUAACUGUCAGAGGUGGAAUUCUUGGAUUUGUUAAAGACGGACUACUGCGAAAGCAUUUGCCAAGGAUGUUUUCAUUGA